AGACAGACAAGCUGCUCCAGGGUGAGAGGCUGUGUCCCUUCCCAUAGGGGAGACAGCCAAAACUGAGUGCCUGCUAGGGGAAGGACUGACACCCCAGGGCAACUAACACGAUGAUACCUUGUCCCAGUGAGAAGGCUGUGAAAGAUUUAGAACAUUGCACGGGUCUAUUGGUCUGCAUGUUCCAGGAGCCACUGGGCCUAAAUUGGAAGCCAACAGAAACUAAGAAAGAUCAAUAGAAGCCAGACUCUCCAGUUCGGUUUCAUUGUCAGUCAGCUUUGGUCCCAAUCUUCUUAGUCGUCAUGGGGUCAGGACCUAGCUACAUCCAUUACCACCUCUCCAUCCACAACUUGCCUAGCCAGCCGAAGUGCUGCUCAGAAAGCUUACAAAGCCCUGAACGACACGCAUGAGAGUCGAAGAUGGAUUCUUCUCAGUCAGAGGCUUCAACUGUGGUUCAAGCUUCCAGAAGAGCUCAGACCAGUCCAGAGCCUGGCUGCUUUCAGACUGCAGGGCCCUCUUCUUCGACAAAGCAAUUCCACCAGAACCAGCGCGAUGAAGAUUGAUGGAUGCUACAGAAAAGCCUGAGAUGGACAAAUAUAAUGUCCUGGGAAGAUUCCCUUUUAAUGGGCCAUGUCUUUGGAACAAUCAGACGUCAGAAAGCAUUUGAAGGACAAAGUCAAGGGGUUGCCUGUGCACGGUGUGCUCUGGAAGCACAACCUGUAGCCCUUACUAUGACCUGCUCGCACUUGGCAGCGUGAGUAACGUGGCCAUACUACGGCUCCAAAAGGGCCGCUGAGGAGUCCCCCAGCUUGGGUGAGUCUCCAGCAGGUGUAGCCAGCUCUAUACCGUCUCUUCUGGCUAUGGUGGCAUAAGCAGCAUGCUUAAGCACAUGUGGCCAGAGCACACUGCAGUAGCGUAAUGCCUGUCUGGCAUAAUGGCUCUGUGGGCCCUGAGGCUGUUCUAAGUUACCCUGGAAGCCAAAUCAGCCAACACCAGAGCUAGGGAUUGGGGCAUGUGAUCGGGGAGCCCCUCUUGCUCUCUGUCACCCUCAGUUAUACUGAGCAGAGCUCUGGCAUGGAGCAAGAUCUAGUUAAAAGAAGGGGUGUUGCAACAGUAGGCUACUUAGACACGUUUAGCUGCUGAGGACUGCUUGGUCAACUGCAUAAAAAGUGAAAAGCAGGGGGAAAGGGUGCCGUCGUCAAUAGUUAUGUAAGCACAAGACAUGGAUGUGUUGAUCUCCAAUUUGCAAGCAUUGUACAACAUUGCCUGCUGGGGAAUGAAUGUGAAUGGCUCAGGAACUGCAGAACUGGCUUGCCAAGACCCAGGCGUCUGCUCUGGCAUCUGGUCUGACAGCCGAUACGUUACAUUCAUCUGUGGUGCACGCUGGUGGCGUUGUGCAGCAGGAGUGGUGGGGCAGGCAGCUUCUCAAGGAAGAAUAAACCCAGUGGGGCUAAGCGUGUGAGUCAAUACUCUCCAGUGUGAGUCAGGAUUAUACAGCCCAGCCCACUGUGAGAGCGGAGACAAAAUAGCCGUGCUGUACAGCCUGGCUUUGCUUGUAGCUGACUCUGACUGGGAACAGGAGCAGCAAACGGGGAUUUAUUUCUGAAUAUUCGUAGGUGCCAUUAAAAAGCAGCCCAUGCCACGUGUUAGCGUUUGACUUUGCCAUAGUUUUGUUGGAUUAUUUCCUAUCCCGAACCCAGGAAAUCCAGCAGAAAAGUCAUAUACCACGGGGUAGCAAAGGCUGCUUUGUUUUUUAAUGGCAGGCAUUCUCGGUCAGCCUUUCAGGCACAGCCCUGGAAUUUGUUGUAGUGGCACGGGUGCUCAUUCCAGGGAAAAUUUUGACCAUCUCUGACAGAGCUGCAUGAGGCACUGGGGGGCUGGAGUGUGCAAAGCUCUUCCCUGUCUUGCAUGGCCUGCACAACAGCCUGUCCCGGUUGCAGUCUCUGUACUCGAAGGGAGGGCAGGAACUGCUCUUCUGUGUGCCCUUGUGGUGUCCCAGCACCUCCACGAGGAGCGGAGAGGAGCCUGUCCUUGGCACAGGCUCAUAGAACGAGCCAGGCAUGCUCACAAGCUGGUGUGGUAGCAGGAACUCUCCUCUGGGUUCCUCGGAGAUUUGAGCAGAAUUCUCCCCCUCCCGCUGUGUGCCUGGAAACCCCACCCCUUUCCCUCCUGGGCCGAAUGAUUUGUCUGAACCCGAAUGAAGGGCCGUUCACUUUGGCUCUCCAGCUCUUCAUUGAAGAGACUGCCCGCAGGGUGUAUAGUAAGGGGUAGCUGUGGGAGCGCAAAUGUCCUCUUCUUUGUACUGCAGUAGGAUGGGCUUUGCAAACCCCCUAUGGACCCCGUGGUGGGUGUUAGGCCAGAAAGAAAGGGCUGAAAAGGAGGCUGGCUAGGAAGAGAUGUACAGUAAUGGCCCUCAUGUGGAAAGAGAAACUGGGCGGGAAUCCAGAGAUGAAUUGGUCUGCUGCCUGAUCAAGCCUCCCUGCAGGGGGAAGAUAGGACCUGACUGGGACUACGUGGAUGGACCUAGGACCUGCUGAUGGUCGUAAGCCAGGCCACGGAAGAGGGUAUGUCAUCUGACAGGACAGAAUGGGGAUGGAGAGCUAAACCCAGAGGGCAGAUGGACAAAUAAUCCCAGAGGGUCCGUGAAUUACUCCGAUCUGGGGCAAAGAGUCCUUUAGAGUGUGUGUUUUGAACUGAGACUCAAAUCUCUGCUAGGGAAUGAAUUUUUUAUGGUGAUCUGACUUGAGGGCUGAGCCCCAUCAAUCACUGGAGUGGGUGGACACACACAGUAGGAGAAACUGAGGCAGAGAGCCUGCACCUGUGUCUCAAAGCCAGGAGGCAUACCGAGGGUGGUGGCCUGAUCCUAUACUGUAAUACCAAGAUACCACGCUACGGUAGAUCCUCUUCAUAGGAGGCAUUCCUGCUCUAAAGAGCUUAAAAGCUAAAUCAGCAGGACAAUGGGAGAGAGAAAGGGGCUACUUUUUAUUCCCAUUUAGAAGAGGGGCACAGAGAUUAAGGGUAAGAUAUUUAGGUGCCUAAUGCUUAGGCCUCAUUGGAAACAAUGGUAGAUGGGUGCCUAGGUGCUUUGGAAAAUUCCAUUAGGCACCUAUCUGUAUCCUCAGGUGCCUAAAUACUUUUCAAAAUCUGGUUCUAACUGAGUGGCCCAUGGUCACACAGAGAGUCUGACGGAGCUGGAAAUAGCACCCAGAUCUCCUGGGCCCUAGCUCAGUGACUAAACCCCAAGCCCAUCCUUCCCCAUUUAUGAGCAAUCUUAAAUGGUAAAGGCCGGAUUCUGCCAGCUGCAGCACCUGACAAAGUGGCUAGUCCAGUUAGCGCUAUAUUAAUUUGGAUGGCUGUUUAUAAGAUACAUACCACAUGUAAUAUUUAUGUCCCUAUAAUGUCACCCUAGCCUCGCCCACCCUGCUAUAAAAUGACGUACCGGAUGGCUGUUUGUAAGCAUCAAGGGGUGUCAUGCGAUGAGAGUAUGUGUGAAUAACAGUCUGCUUGUAUCUAAUUUUACACACCAUCCAUUCCGGGCAAAGAAUUCUGCUUCGUUGGUGUCCAUGUGGGCUAGUCAGGUCUGAUUAACCUCACCGUAUGAGAUUAAAAACCAAACACAACACCU